UCCACCCUGGCGCUUCUGGGGCGGGACGCGCCGCGCUCGGGACGACUGUGGACGGCUUCCCAGUUCGCCCGCCGGUCGCUGCAGCGCGCGCCCCCGGGGGUGCCGCGCUGCCCCGGCUUGGCAUGCAGGCGGGCGGAAGGAGGAGGUGGGGUGGGACGGGGCCGGGGAAGAAAAAUCCUAGAAGUAAUGAAGUGAAGGGAGAGUGGGUCAGGGGAGCCAAUCCUUCACCCUCUCUGCUGCCGCAAUCACAAGAGGCUUGGCUGUUGGCAGGAGAGAGACAAAUGAGAAACAACACAAAGCAAAGCCAAAUGCACUAAUCAAAACCCUAACCCUCAAAAGACAAGGCAAGGAAAAGUCACUACAGUUCAAAAAUGCUAAAAAUGAGAAAAAAGAAACAAAUAUGUUUAUGUAUGUGUAAACUAGUCAGCACAACAAAGACACACACAAAAACAAACUAACCCCACCAAACGAUUCUUAAUGAAAAAUGAAGGAAUUAUCUGCCCCGAGGUGGUCAAAAUAGUUGAUGAGAAUAGAUGGUCACUGCCCACGCCUGACUGUCAUUCCAUUUCUUCUUGAGCUCUGUACUGUGAGCAAGAGCAAGGGCUGGGGUCAUUAACCCCUUUCUCUUUUUGUGUCACUCACCAAGCUUCCAGUUAGAGUGGCCUAAGAUUGACGCUGUUUCAUAUAAUUCUCAGCUUCUCUUCUCCCCAGAUGAGGUAGGAUGGGAUGGGAUGUGCUGGCAGGUGGAGUUCUGUCCACACAGACGAGGUCAGUGUGCACUCCCAGGGAGGGGCUGCUGCAGGGUCUAUGAGCCGAGUCCCAGCAGCUGGGGCUUAGGCCUAAUCAGCCUCACAGUCUUUGCUGGGUGGUUUCUGCUCUGGAGAGAUUAGAUCAACACACCUCCAGGGCCUGGAAGUUCUAGUCUCUGCUGGGAGUCUGGACCUCCGGAGUCUCCCUAGGAUUCUGCUAGUGGGUCAGGAGAGCCAAUCCUUCACCCUCUCUGCCACGGCAAUCACAGCCUUGCCAGGCUUCCCAGGCUCAGCCCUCGAGUGUACUCACACCCACCUGUUCACGUGAGCUGGUCACGUGAGCUGCCGGACUCCAAGAGGAAGCAUGGCUGAUGCUUCGAAGGAGGGGAAACUGACCCGAUUCCUGGACUUUGCCCAGCUGGUGGACAUGGCCUCCGAGUCCGUGGGAGGAAAGAUUUUAUUUUCAACAGACGACUUCUUUGCUCCUGCAGAAAACCUCAUAAAGGUACUGUGAACGCGCGUGGUGCGUGAGGAGGCUGGUGGGAAGGCCCCUGCCCUUUAGCUGACCUCUCACUGACCAGCACAGCAGCGUGGCCACAUGGAAACAUGCAGACAGC